AUUAUGUAUUUACGAUCGCUGGACUGUGAAAUGAAACAAGAGUUACUUUCCAGGAUUAAAUAUUUGUGGUGGCGCUGCGUAGAGUUUCGUCCAUAAUGGACUCACACAGAGAAAUGGUCUAACUUGGUAUGUGCAUAUUUGUUCCGAUUAGUUUUUCCAAUAGGCUAACUUUCUAAAUUAACUCUUCCCCCUCCCCCCGAAAUUCAAGGUCUUGGCCGAUUGUUCAAGACAUUGCGGAAUAAGAACAUUGCCUUGAAAAGCAAAGUUCAAUGCUCUAGCAACGGCAAACGCGGCGGGCCUGAUGCUGACCUCCAAUCUGUGUAAAUCAGCAGUCACCCCGAUGAACUCAAUGGAGUAAUGGGGUGUAAACCCACUAACACUAGAUCAGAACCAGUGAGUAAGGCAUUUAUUGCAUAAACUGUUUUAGAUUGUACCUUUCUUUAAAAGAAAGAAAGAAAGAAAGAAAGAAAGAAAGAAAGAAAGAAAGAAAGAAAGAAAGAAAGAAAAUCUUGCCUUGGAAGAAAGAAGGAAGCCAAGUUCUGCGCACCCCACAGCGUAAACCCGACAAGUGGAUUCUCCCCCCUACGCCCCACCCCUUUCCAACGGUCUGCUGAGCUGCUGUAAAGCCAUGGAAAGUACAGGGUUUUGAAAAUGGUGCCACAUGAAGUCAAGUCACAUGGUAAUCAGAAAAGAGAUGCUUACAAUGUUGCUUCUGACAAAGGCUUCAUUUCCAGCCUAAAAUACGCCUAGGGAUUUAGCAUCAAUUUAAACACUCAAACCUUGCAACGGGAGUUGACUCACGAUUUGGUCUGAACCCGCCGGAUGGUCAGAACGUCUGGCGUCGAAUCCUGCUCUCAGCUGGGUGGAUUUUCAGCCUUUCACAUGCCACUCCAAUCACCCUCAAGGCAGGGAAAAGGAAGAGGAAAAUAAUAACCAGAGGAACACCUCAACCAGCAACAGUUUCAACACCUCCAGCAGGAAAGUAAUCAGAUAUGUUUUUUUCCUCCUGGCUCAGACGCCAUGACUUCUGCAAAAGGUGUCUUUGAUCCUUCCCUUUAAGGCCCAUGCCAUAAAAAAAGAAGUCAUAGCUAAAGUCCACUUUAAAGUGAAGAGAUUUGAGCCCUCUUUUGCUCGCCCCCGCCCCCUUCUUCGUCUGAGGACCUUCCCUAAGAGUUUUUAUGAUUCCUCCCUGUGCAGUGUCAAAGCUUCGCGGCACCUACAGUGGAAUGGGCCCUUGUUACUACAGAGCUGCGUACAGAGCAGACAGGCGGCUAACCUUGGCCAUAUCUAGCUUCUCAAUCUCUUCCGCUCUCUAGUUCAGGAAGGCGUGUGGAUUUCCUCUAUUCCGCCAUUAAAAAUAAAAUAAAAUAAAAUAAAAUAAAAUAAAAAGGUGGAUCCGAAAAUCAAUAGGCACAAAGACUCUCCAGACUGGCUGGUUCCCUACCUCAGUGGCAGGCGGCCAAUCCACUACAUCACCCUGAAACUAUUUAGCAAGCAUCCCGCUGAAAUGGGGUCUUUUAAAAGACUCUCCCCCACCCCCUCUUCCCAAACGCCACUGGCUCUCAUAUAUUAUUUGGGCUAAUGUGAGGUUGUUCUCUUUCGUGUAGGGGGGUGGGGUUUGUAUAGACAGCGCCUUCCAUUGCUAGGAAUUUGAAGACCGAAUUCCCUGUUGACCAAGGAUAGUUGUUCUUGGGAUUAGAAAUGUCUGACCUUGAAGGUCACAGGUCAUGGUCUUGAAUAAGGAACAGACUCUUACAGAAGACUACGUUGGGCUGGUGAGGAUUCAAAAAAAGAACGCCUUUUGUUUGGUACUAGAACCAGACUCCUCCCUCAAGAGUUAUGGACCUCCUCAAGGUGAUCAAAUACCUGCAGAUAAAGCAAAAUAAACAUUUUGACACAUUUUCUGGGGGUGUGAUGGGGAGAGGGAAAGAGGGCUGGAGCCACAAGAUCUUAUUAUUUAUUAUUUGUGUUCUAGGAGGGCCUAGUAGCUACAGCUGAGAAGAAGGUCUCAUUGGGCUAGGUACAAACACAGAGAAAGAGAGUUCUGCCCACAGAGGUUAGGCCCAGAUCCUCAAAGAUAUUUAGGUGCCUAAAUGACAUGGAUUUCAUCCUAAAUACACUGCUAGGGGAAAGGAAGUAUCAUUAUCCCCAUUUUAUAGAGGGCAAGAAAGAUGAAGUGUUGCACCCAAGGUCCCACAGGAAGUUCGUGGCAGAGCCAGGAGCGGAGUCCAUGCCUCCUAAAUCCCAGUCUGAUGGCCUCACUACACAAACACCCUUCUUCUCUUCCCACUAAGCUAUGGGAUUAUUGUGCUGCCUGGGGCAAAUCACAUCACCAUUCUGUGCCUCAGUUUCCUCACCUGUAAAAUGGGGAUAAUAAUACAUACCUCCUUUACAGCAUUGUUGUGAAACUUCAUUCAUGUUUUCAAACAGUGCUAGGUCUGUACAUGGAAGUAUUACAAGUAUCAUAAACAUUCCCAAGUGGAGAGAGGUGGAUGUCACAGAUAUUCAGUGAUAAAAGCCCUAUAUUGAAUAAAAAACACAAAACUACUUCAGUCAGCAGUGAUGCACCUUUCCAUGAGUUCUAAUGGUUUAGGAGAUUGGUAAGGGUUACAGACACAUGAAACAUAUAGGACCAAAAAUUGUUACCAGUUCAUGAUUGGUGGUUGUUUAUGUGAAAAGGAGCUGGCAAUGCCAGUCCAGUUUGGAGAGGAAUUCUUGUGUACAAAUCACAGUUAGAAUUUACUGUUCCUGUGUUGUCUCAGCAAAGAGGCCAAGGGAUUGAGUGGGCCAAGGAAACUGAAUUCUCUAUAGGCAUCCCUAGAGAUGGUCCCUCCAAAUCAGGAAUGGGCUAUAUUUGUUUAAUGGCGGAGUCAUCUGAAUUGUACCAGUUUGAGGACAAAGAGGACUUCACUCUCCAGGAUUGUUUAAUUAGGCACCAUUCACUAAGUCCGGAUCCUAUAGACUGUUACACAUAUGCUUAGCGUUACACAGGUGAGGAGUUCUAUCAAGUUCAAUGGGGCUACUCACAUAAGUUGAAGUUACUCUGGUGCUUGAGUGCAUGCGGAACCAGGGCCUUAAUGUACUCUUUGAAAAACAAGAAAUUUUAUAAUAUUAUGGUCUGAUUUUCAGGAGAGCUGAGCACCGGUGUAUAUCACUGAAGUCCAUGGGAGCUAUAGAAUCUCAGCACAUUUGAAAAUCAAGCCAUUUGGCCCCAGUCCUGCAAUUAGUUAAGUAGCUGCUUAAUUUUAUGCAGGCGAGUAUUCCCACUGUGUUCAAUUGCAUUAAAAUUAAACACAUGCAUACAUAUUUGAAGAACUAGGGGCCUGAUGAAUUGCAUAAAACUGUCUCCCUAUAUUUCAACACAAGUGCAGGUAGAUAUUGAGGUAUAAAUAUCGGAGGUAGAUAUUGUCAUAUCUUCAAUGGCAGCAGAUGCUAACUGGCACUGUGCAGUCACCUUUAUUCAAACUGCACACUGGAUUAUUUGAAGAAGAAAUGAUAGGUUUGCUUCUUAUUUAGUGACAAAUAAUAAUGCCGCUUUCAGAGAACGAGCAUUCAGUACACCUGAAAAUUGCAGUAAACCAGAACUGACUUGGCCAGUCUCUCAGAUUAGGUAAAUCAGGGUAGCUCCAGUGACAUCACUGGGUUGAUCAAGGAGUUUAUCAAGGCAAGGAGAGGAAUGCUAGGGACUAUGCUUCCAAAGAUCAUUCAGAACACUACGGUUGGUUAUUUACAGUUAUCAACUGAGGAAAAAUAUUUGAAAAAGUUAAUUUCACUCUCCUUUCUUUUAAAGGAUGUCCUAGUAGCUGUGACCUCCAGAGAUUAGACGGGUGAAGGCAGACAGUCAGCAACACACACAAAUAGAAUCAUGUCAUGCAUAUACAUACUACACGCAUACACACACACGUAUAGUCAUGAAUACGCAUGCGGAAAUAAUUUUGCAUGUCUAAAAAUGGGAUUGGACAUCUGUAUGAGUCAGGGGUAGAGAGGGAGGGUUGUCAGGGAUAGGAAGGGGAGUGGAGUGGGUGCUCAGCAUGGGAAAUGAGGGAAGCCACCACUGACACUUGGAAGGUGGGGGUAUGGGCAGAGGGGUGGCGGGGAGGCUCCCAGUCAUUCACACUGCGGGUAGCUCCUCCCAGGCUCAGCCCAGUCACCCUGGUGCCUACCUGUUCCUAGACGCCAUGGGGUUAGAUCCAGCCCAUCCGUAGGGUGACCAUAUUUCCCUCAACUGAAAAUGGGACACUGGGUAAGCAGUGACGCCAGCCCAGCCGUGCACAGGGCUGGUCUCAGCCACCUGGCAUCAUUGCUUGCCUGAGCCCUGCCACACAGGGCCGUCAACCCAAACCAGGGCUGACAGCCUGAGCCCCACCAUGUGAGGCUGGCCCGAGCCUUCUGGCAUCACUGCUUGCCUGAGCUGACAUCACGGAGGUCAUGACUUUUUUUGGCAAAACUGGGCAUUUGUCCCAUUUGCUCUUGCCUGAAAAAGUCCUCUGCCCCUUCCCCCCCCGCCCCCCGCCAAGAGAAAAUGAGACAAAUGUCCAUUUUUGCCAGAAAAUUUAGGAUGUCUGGUACAGAGCUUAAUUGGCCAAAUGGGGUGUAUGGUCACCCUACCCAUCCAGGUCCCACUCUCACCUCUGCCCCCAGCAGCUGCAGAGUCCCACCUGGCCUGAUCAUGUGAAACAACUCUUGUGGGGGUGAAAAUGUAGAUCAGCCCCUCACAGUAUUUCCAUUGUGCCAGCCCACAGUGCCCCAGGUUCCACCACCCCUAGGAUUAUGCCACAACCGCCGACUGUGGGUUUUUACACCUUACUCUGACGCAUCUAGGACUGGUCCAUUUGGGGACAGGAUACUGAGCUAAAUGGGUCACUGGUCUGGCCAGGAUGGUGAUUCCUAUGUUCCUACAUACACACAGAGUCACAGAAAUCAUAGAAAUGUAUGGCUGUAAGGGAUCUCAAGAGGUCAUCUAGUCCAGCCUCCCUGCAAUGAGACCUGAUUAAGUAUUAAGUCAUGCACAUACAUCCUAGAUACACAAAGAUAUAGUCAUGCAUACAAGCACACAGUCCCACUACUUCCCUUUACUGUUUGGAGAAAAUGAUUUUACAGAUACAGCUGGAGGAAAAUAAGUGUAAGGAGAAUUUUUGUCCAUGUUUAUUGUUUACACAGUGCAAAAUGAUGAGUGAAUCGUUGCUACGUUUGCAUCCCAUCUUCUGCUUUGCUACUACCCUGUUAUUCCUUUGCCUGUUUCAAAUUCUUGUAUUCAGCCUCUGGGCUCUACCUUUCCUUUACAUUUUAUAUAUAGGCUUGUCAGAAUCCAACUUUUAUUUUUUUAUGUAUAAUUUAUUUUUUUUCCUUUGUUUUGAUUUAAAUUUUCACAGCUGCACAAAUUAUGGGUUUUAAGCAUUCCCCCCCAAUUUGUAUCAAUUUAAAUUUUCACAAUUGCGAGAAAUUAUGGGGCAGGGGUCAUGCACCAGGGAUCAGACAAUCGUUAUUUAAUGACCGUAGACACUGAGAUUCAAAGAGUUAAAGCUUUAUCACUGUUGCAAGACUAAAUGCCAUGUCACAAGUCACAUGUCAAAAUAUGAAGUAAAUAGCCUUAAAUCAAACUCUAAUAAGCUCUCAAGCAACAUUUUUCUUACUUUGCCUGUCUGUAAAUGUUUAUUCUUAGUGAGGGCAAUAUUUUUUUGUCAGUUUGUGUAUGUACGAUGAAACAUUUACCUACAAAAAUCUAAUCCUUCCAAUCCUAUGUAUAUAUCCUUUGGAGAGGCAAGUAUGUUCCAGUUAUUAUCAUUACAAUGCAGUUACUAGUGAGACCCUGUCAGCUGGGGUUUGGGUAUAAAGAUUUGUCCAUGGGAAAGGGUACAUCGGUCCAUUCAAUACAUGUGACACCAGAAAGCAAACAGAGACAACUUUUGGCCACAGUACCUAUCAAACCAUUUCAGGUCCAACAGUUACCGAAUCCUUUGGACUGUGGUAUACAGUAAGAGUGCAUUGCUGUCCUUGCUGAGAUGCUGCACCUUUCAGCUGUUUCCCUAACAUUAGGUCUAGUGUAAUUUUCUUUCAUUUCAUGGCUCAGGUUUCCACUGAGUGGAAAGGAGAUGCAAAAACUUGAGGUUUAGGAUGCGUUCAAAGUCUUUGCCAAAUGCAGUUUGAGAGCGAGGUAACACUAGAGGGCGCCAUGGUUUCAGUUUAAUUAACAAGAAAGGUUUACCAAUCCAGAGCACAAACCUGGAGCAAGGAAACAAAUCAGAACUAAAAGAUUACUAGUGCUUUCAUCAGGAUUUCAUGCUGAAUUUAUCUUGAUUUACAUGAAAAGAUUAUGCAGCAAUAGGAUCCAAAUGACAGUAAUCCAAGGACUCCAAAGGCCAUGUCCUGGUGCACUUGUAAUCUUAUUCAAGGCAAUUUGGUUUAAGUGGCUGGCACAAAAAACUUUUUUUUCUCCGCCUAGUUUUUGAUUCUUUUCUUUGAU